rnacentral:rRNA from 1 species
CCUACGGGGGGCAGCAGUGAGGAAUAUUGGUCAAUGGGCUUACGCCUGAACCAGCCAAGUCGCGUGAGGGAAGACUGCCCUAUGGGUUGUAAACCUCUUUUGUCAGGGAGCAACGCCGGCUACGUGUAGCCGGACUGAGAGUACCUGAAGAAAAAGCAUCGGCUAACUCCGUGCCAGCAGCCGCGGUAAUACGGAGGAUGCGAGCGUUAUCCGGAUUUAUUGGGUUUAAAGGGAGCGUAGACGGCAAGGCAAGCCAGAAGUGAAAGGGCAGGGCUCAACCCUGUACAUGCUUUUGGAACUGUGGUGCUAGAGUGCAGGAGAGGUAAGUGGAAUUCCUAGUGUAGCGGUGAAAUGCGUAGAUAUUAGGAGGAACACCAGUGGCGAAGGCGGCUUACUGGACUGUAACUGACGUUGAGGCUCGAAAGCGUGGGGAGCAAACAGGAUUAGAUACCCGAGUAGUC